AGCGAACGCUGGCGGCAGGCUUAACACAUGCAAGUCGAACGGGCAUCUUCGGAUGUCAGUUGCAGACGGGUGAGUAACACGUGGGAACGUACCCUUCGGUUCGGAAUAACUCAGGGAAACUUGAGCUAAUACCGGAUACGCCCUUUUGGGGAAAGGGUUACUGCCGAAGGAUCGGCCCGCGUCUGAUUAGCUUGUUGGUGGGGUAACGGCCUACCAAGGCGACGAUGAGUAGCUGGUCUGAGAGGAUGAUCAGCCACACUGGGACUGAGACACGGCCCAGACUCUUACGGGAGGGAGCAGUGGGGAAUAUUGGACAAUGGGCGCAAGCCUGAUCCAGCCAUGCCGCGUGAGUGAUGAAGGCCUUAGGGUUGUAAAGCUCUUUUGUCCGGGACGAUAAUGACGGUACCGGAAGAAUAAGCCCCGGCUAACUUCGU
rnacentral:rRNA from 1 species